AGGCAACUGAGUGCUUAUUGCACCACAUGUGUUUUUCUUUGAAACAAACUUGCUUUGGCGGUGGGCCCAGCCUGCCGCCAGAGGUCUAAACUUACAACCAAUUUUUUAUCAACUUGUCACACCAGAUUAUUACUAAUAGUCAAAACUUUCAACAACGGAUCUCUUGGUUCUCGCAUCGAUGAAGAACGCAGCGAAAUGCGAUACGUAAUAUGAAUUGCAGAUAUUCGUGAAUCAUCGAAUCUUUGAACGCACAUUGCGCCCUCUGGUAUUCCGGAGGGCAUGCCUGUUUGAGCGUCGUUUCUCCCUCAAACCGCUGGGUUUGGUGUUGAGCAAUACGACUUGGGUUUGCUUGAAAGACGGUAGUGGUAAGGCGGGAUCGCUUUGACAAUGGCUUAGGUCUAACCAAAAACAUUGCUUGCGGCGGUAACGUCCACCACGUAUAUCUUCAAACUUUGACCUCAAAUCAGGUAGGACUACCCGCUGAACUUAAGCAUAUCAAAAGCCGGAGGAA
rnacentral:rRNA from 1 species